GGGAGGGGUUCUGGCACAGAAAGGAGACCAAAAGGGAAAACAUAUUGACAAAGCCUUCACAGUUGUGAACCAGGGCUGCAGAGGGACAGACAGGAGCUGCUGCUGGAACAGAAAGGGAGCAUUUGACACACUGAAGCCCAGACCCGGGAAGGCCAGGGGCCUGCGCCACAAAAGGGGAAAGCAAUUAAGAACAAAUUCAGUGUUCUGCCGUCUGCAAAGGGGAAGGCAGAAAAAGCAAACCGCUAGGCUAAUCUGUCAUUUUUUCAGAGAAUGCUUGGGACAACAGAAAGCAAACUAUUGCUGCAGUGUUGAGGAGAAUUGAAAGGACUCAUAGCAUAAACAAAAAUAUUGGGAUGAAACAUUGUGAAUCAUUGCUCUAUCUCUCCCUGGAAUUGGAAGACUGAUCCAAAAGAGAGUCAGAGCUUAGUUCCAGGGACGCAGCAAGCCCUGUAAAAACAAAACGAAACAGGUAGUGUGUCUAGACAGUUGGAACAAUUUCAUCCAUCUAGAAAGGCUCAGGAGCACCAGAAGUUUCUCACUCAUUCAAGAAUGAAAACAACGUAAAUGGAGAGAGUCAGCAGAUCUAAAAGAGCUGUGAGGACAAGAGUGAAGGUGAAGAAAUGCCAGACUGGACCACUGAAUGAAGAGAAAGGAUGAUGCUCAUGUCACUGGAUAUAUCAUGGACAGAUGACAAUCUCUCCCCCCUAGAUUCUUUGGAACUAUUUGUGUCCCUUGUUACUUAGACACAAUCCUGGGGAAAUCUACAAAUUAACUGAGAUUAAGUUUCUGCCACCCAAGUAAAAUGAGAGCUCAAGAUUGAAAUUAAAUUGGCUUAUGAAAACAA